UAUGUCAACGAUAGUUCCUUUGAAUAGCAUGUUUUUGCCAGUAUAUGUUGUUGCUUACUUAAGAAAAGAACAUGACACUGAGUUUAGAGUGUUUCUUCUCUACCUCCUACCUUGUGAACCGAUGCUACUGGUGCUUUACUGUACCUUUGUGUUGUGAUGCUCUAGCAUGCUGUUACAUGAUGAUGUUCUUAUUUAGUGGGUGUUGACAUUGCUACAGGAUGGACUGUCAUACUCUCCUUUUCAAUUAUCAAGUUUAGAAUGUUUGUUGUAUUAAGUCCAUGGGAACGUUGCAUCAUGAGUGUGAAAAUAGAGCGGAUACAGACGAAAUUGAUUGUUGCCACAUUUGUUUUCAUAUUUAUGUGCGGAAAAAAAAACUGAACACGGAAACGCCAGAAAAAAAACGAAAGCAGAUAUUGUCGGACAAACCGAAUAUAGUGCCAGAAAACGUUGUUCCGUUUCCAUUUCUGCCAAAAAGUUACCAUUUCCAUUUUGCAAAAUUCCAUCUCCAUCUCCGUCUCCAUAUUUCCAUUCCGUUUCUGUUUUUCCACGAAAAAGUCGGAAACUCUCCACUCCAUUUUCAUCCCUAGCAUUGACCACAUGUGGCUUUAUUUUUUAGAUGCCAAGUGGGUUUUAUCUCGUCUUCUACCUGUUGAAUGUUGGCUUGAAUGGGAUGUGUGUUUUCAGUAAAAAUAUGUGUAUUGCUAGUCCGCUCCUUUGGACCAAUUGACUUAAUCAAUUAUCAACCUUGAAUAAGUUUUUUUAUUUUAUGUGGGCUAAACGUGUCCCUUGAUUUCUUAUUUAAGAAGAGUGUUUUUGUUAUUUUCUAUCUUGUGCUGACUUGGAAAUUUCUCCAGGGCCUAGAGCAUGUAUGUACACUGAAGGAUGCACAAAGAUUCAGCAGGGUUGUGCUAGUUGCAGCGACAAGCGUAUUGUUUUGCAGCGCUGGCGGGAGGAGUUCACCGCCGUGCAGGCAUGGCGGCAGGAUGGCAUGGAGGACGAGAUCACGGUCGCCUUCCUAGAGCUGCUAUUGUUGGUGGCUCUCCUCGAUUAUCUCUCCGAAAUGCUGGCUCCAACGACGUCCUUGAUGUUCUAGUGCUGGCCAAAACCCUGUUCCUCUGCUGCUGACAACCUCCCCAGCCGGCAGCUACCUAGUUUGCUUUCUAACAUGUUGCAAAUACCCGUGAUGACGGCUUCUGGUACCUGCGCGCUGCAUACUGGAAGCUCGGGGUUCUGGCUCGGCGGCGCUUUCGCUGCCGGGCAUAUUGGCUGCAGAUUGAACAAGAAAUUACAGGACACGACAAAUUAUCCAGAACUAUUCACAGAGGUGCUGUUUGUCGGUGCUCUUGUUGUAAGGCACGACCUCUUGGAGUCCUGGUGCAGA